GAUGAACGCUAGCGAUAGGCUUAACACAUGCAAGUCGAGGGGCAGCACGGUGUAGCAAUACACUGGUGGCGACCGGCGUACGGGUGCGUAACACGUAUGCAACCUACCCGCUAUUGGGGGAUAACCCGGCGAAAGUCGGACUAAUAUCCCAUAUUAUUCUUACCGGGCAUCCGGUGAGUCUGAAAGAUUUAUCGAUUGCGGAUGGGCAUGCGGAUGAUUAGCUAGUAGGUGGGGUAACGGCUCACCUAGGCGACGAUCAUUAGGGGUUCUGAGAGGAAGGUCCCCCACACUGGAACUGAGACACGGUCCAGACUCCUACGGGAGGCAGCAGUGAGGAAUAUUGGUCAAUGGGCGCUAGCCUGAACCAGCCAAGUCGCGUGAAGGAUGACAGAUCUAUGGUUUGUAAAACUUCUUUUGCAGGGGAGUAAAGUGCGACACGUGUGUUGUAUUGCAAGUACCCUGCGAAUAAGCAUCGGCUAACUCCGUGCC
rnacentral:rRNA from 1 species